AAGGUUCACGGACGGUAAAUUUUAAAUUUAAAUCUCGCGCCUUUUUGGAUAAAGCGGUACGACCUUGCGAGACGUCACUUGAUUGAAUUACGCUUUAUCCAAUUAGGCGCGCGAUUUAAAUUUAAAAUUUACCGUCCGUGAACCUU